rnacentral:lncRNA from 1 species
GCUGCUGGAGCGCGGCCAGAGCGGACGCCGAGGCCGAGGAGGCGCCGAGAGCGAGUGAGAGCUGCUAGCCAGUUGUCACCUCUCACAGAGAGUCUCAAGAUGUAGCUUUGAGCCAAACUACAAAUGUGUUUUCUUUCAUCUUGAAAUAUAGCCUCGGAAUGUGCUGUGAACCUCCACUCUCCUCUCCCUUUCCCACUUUAUGCUCCCAUGCCUUAUGCACAUUUAUUUGCCUAGGUACUUGUUAAGCACACACCAUGCUCUCUUAUCUGGUCAUAAAUUUCCUUAGAAGCUUUAGGGGCCGGAUCCUGAUACAGAGCAGACACCUCCAGAGUUCUUUCCAACGCGUGAUUACCUCAAGCCUGGAAUCCACUCUUGACUAGAGAUUGACUGGAAGAUUGACUGCAAUUGAUUUGUAACCUGGUUGGGCCCAUCCUGGCACGGGUUCCUUCACUAGAUGGAAUAAUAAUUCAAAACAAGUCAUCGGAGCAGGUUGCACCGCCUGACACCUCCUAAGCCGUUUGUUUCUCCUGCAUUCCAAACCUCUCGCUUUAAAAACCCCUGCAUUCCCUCCACAAAUUAAAGAGUGGAAAUGUUUGGAAAGAAUUCCGCCCAGUCUUGCCCUUGCUACCACAGAUAAUAAAGCUUGCUCUCUUUCUAUCACACCUCGCUCUUGUUAUUUUGGCGUCUUUCUCCAAGCAGCAAGCAGCUGGACCCUUU